CCUACGGGUGGCAGCAGUCGAGAAUCAUUCACAAUGGGGGAAACCCUGAUGGUGCGACGCCGCGUGGGGGAAUGAAGGUCUUCGGAUUGUAAACCCCUGUCAUGUGGGAGCAAAUUAAAAAGAUAGUACCACAAGAGGAAGAGACGGCUAACUCUGUGCCAGCAGCCGCGGUAAUACAGAGGUCUCAAGCGUUGUUCGGAAUCACUGGGCGUAAGGCGUGCGUAGGCUGUUUCGUAAGUCGUGUGUGAAAGGCGCGGGCUCAACCCGCGGACGGCACAUGAUACUGCGAGACUAGAGUAAUGGAGGGGGAACCGGAAUUCUCGGUGUAGCAGUGAAAUGCGUAGAUAUCGAGAGGAACACUCGUGGCGAAGGCGGGUUCCUGGACAUUAACUGACGCUGAGGCACGAAGGCCAGGGGAGCGAAAGGGAUUAGAUACCCGGGUAGC
rnacentral:rRNA from 1 species